CCGGCGGACGGUCGAUAGUGCCGGGCUCGGGCGGCCAUGUUGCGCGAUUGCACGCGCCGCACGCCUGCACGCGCCGAGUGAGUGCUGUGUGGACGCUCCGUGCUGCGUGCUCGACGCUCGUGCCAUGCGCGCCCGCCGCCACUGACGUAUGGGCUCAGGAUUUGGUUUUCAAUAAUGCGGUAACCCAAUGGACCCUAGCUUCAGUGGGAAGAAAGCCGAUUCAUGUCUUGCGCUGCACCCAUACGCUAUGCUUUUUGACACAUGU